UACGUAGGGGGCAAGCGUUGUCCGGAAUUAUUGGGCGUAAAGAGCGUGUAGGCGGCCAUGUAGGUCCGGUGUGAAAACUCGAGGCUUAACCUCGAGAUGUCAUCGGAAACCAUUUGGCUAGAGUCCGGAAGAGGAGAGUGGAGUUCCUGGUGUAGCGGUGAAAUGCGCAGAUAUCAGGAAGAACACCCGUGGCUAAGGCGGCUCUCUAGUACGGUACUGACGCUGAGACGCGAAAGCGUGGGGAGCGAACAGG
rnacentral:rRNA from 1 species